GACAGAGGCCUCAAGCGUUAGGCGGAAUCACUGGGCUUAAAGCGUGUGUAGGCGGAUCGUUAAGUGUCUUGUGAAAUCCCACGGCUCACCCGUGGAACGGCUGGGCAUACUGGCGAUCGUUGGGCCAACUAGGGGCAACUGGAACAAGCGGUGGAGCGGUGAAAUGCGUAGAUAUCGCUUGGAACGCCGAAGGUGAAAACAGGUUGCUGGGGUUGUGCCGACGCUGAGACACGAAAGCCAGGGGAGCAAACGGG
rnacentral:rRNA from 1 species